UACGGGGGGGGGCAAGCGUUGUUCGGAAUUACUGGGCGUAAAGGGCUCGUAGGCGGCCAACUAAGUCGGACGUGAAAUCCCCAGGCUCAACCUGGGAACUGCGUCCGAUACUGGAUGGCUUGAAUUCGGGAGAGGGAUGCAGAAUUCCAGGUGUAGCGGUGAAAUGCGUAGAUAUCUGGAGGAACACCGGUGGCGAAGGCGGCAUCCUGGACCGACACUGACGCUGAGGAGCGAAAGCCAGGGGAGCAAACGGG
rnacentral:rRNA from 1 species